UACGUAGGGCGCAAGCGUUGUCCGGAUUCACUGGGUGUAAAGGGUGCGUAGGCGGGAAGGUAAGUCCGCGGUGAAAUCUCACAGCUCAACUGUGAAACUGCCGUUGAUACUGCUUUUCUUGAGUUCGGGAGAGGUUGAUGGAAUUCCAGGUGUAGCGGUGAAAUGCGUAGAUAUCUGGAAGAACACCAGUGGCGAAGGCGGUCAACUGGCCCGUAACUGACGCUGAGGCACGAAAGCGUGGGGAGCGAACGAGG
rnacentral:rRNA from 1 species